GACUUUGCGCAGUGGCAGUAUCGGAGCCAAUGAGGUUUAUCCGAGGCGCGAUUAUUGCUAAUUGAAAACCUACUCCAAAGUAAAGUAAAGGAACCUCCCUAGCUAAUGGGCGGAGUCUUUUAGAUUCUGUUUAGUCAACUCCAGUUG
rfam:Mustela putorius furo unplaced genomic scaffold scaffold00032, whole genome shotgun sequence.